AAGCAGAAGAAGAAGAAAAAGAAUAAGAACCGUUGCGCGUUCUUGUGAUAAGAAAAACCUCUAAGACUAGGUAAAACCAACUAAAGAAAGAAGCAGAAGAUGAUUUCAACUA
rnacentral:sRNA from 1 species